rnacentral:rRNA from 1 species
CCUAGGGGCGCACCAGUGGGGAAUAUUGCACAAUGGGCGCAAGCCUGAUGCAGCCAUGCCGCGUGUAUGAAGAAGGCCUUCGGGUUGUAAAGUACUUUCAGCGGGGAGGAAGGGAGUAAAGUUAAUACCUUUGCUCAUUGACGUUACCCGCAGAAGAAGCACCGGCUAACGCCGUGCCAGCAGCCGCGGUAAUACGGAGGGUGCAAGCGUUAAUCGGAAUUACUGGGCGUAAAGCGCACGCAGGCGGUUUGUUAAGUCAGAUGUGAAAUCCCCGGGCUCAACCUGGGAACUGCAUCUGAUACUGGCAAGCUUGAGUCUCGUAGAGGGGGGUAGAAUUCCAGGUGUAGCGGUGAAAUGCGUAGAGAUCUGGAGGAAUACCGGUGGCGAAGGCGGCCCCCUGGACGAAGACUGACGCUCAGGUGCGAAAGCGUGGGGAGCAAACAGGAUUAGAUACCCUAGUAGUC